UCCUGUGUUUUUUAACCUGUGAAGAGGACAGGGUAUCUAAUCUACCACCUGCAUUUUGACCUUAUUCCUUGGGAGCACUUAGAAAAUCUCCCAAAGUUUUUAUAGUGUUUGUGAAGAAUGAUCACACAACACAGAUUGUUCUUGAGGCAAACAGAGAAGUUCACCCAUGCUUAGCAAGUGUCUGUUAAGGAGGGAGUGCCAGAAGAACUAAUUGGAACCUCCAUGUCCAUGUGCAGCCUAUCUGAAUACCAGAAGCUGGAGGGCAAACAGCAAGGGAAGGCCUUAACUCUGCAUGUGAGCUUCUCAGAAGUGGUUGGGUAGUUCCUGUUGGGAAUAGAAUGCCUUUUUAGACAGACCGAGGCACUAUGAUAUUAUUAUUUUUUGCUUCAUUCACUUCAUCUUGCACUACAGUGUGUGGUGUGGUUUGGUUUACUUGCUUGAGUCAUCUGGAGCUAUGUGCUCUUCAGGCUCUUCAGCCUUCCUGGAAAUGUCAGGAAUUGUGUGGAAAGCAAGGGCUUUACCAAUGACUUUUGGGCCUUCCUCAUGAGUACUGCUGGUCUAAAACUGAACUGGUUUUCCAUUCUAACUUCCACUGAUAUGUAAAGUGAGGUUAUUCUAUGUCAAUGGAGAAUCCUGACUCAGUGCAUUUUUCAGUUUAUAACCUGAAUUCAGGCUGUAUGUGACUCUUGGCCUUUUUCUGUCUAUGGGCAGAAUGAGGAUCAUAGUCUGUGAUUCUUGACUGGUCAUGAGGUGCUAGGCUGGACUAUAGCACUUCAGACUGUGAGAGAGAGUAGACCCACAACUUUGAAUGGUCUGCUAUUGAGAAACUCUCACUGAAAAGUAAAUUAUCACAGCAGAGAGCAAUUGUUGCUGUUGCUGUUGUUUAGUUUUUACUUGCAUGGGGUUGUGCUGUUGUUAUUGUUUUAAAACAGUAUGGGCAGUCACUGUCUGAAAUGGUGCAGCUCCUUAUCCCUUCAGCACUUUGCUAUCUCAUUCCGCAGGCUAAAGCCAGCUGACAGGAAGGCAAAGUGUAUUUAGGGCCAGGAAUGGGGUGGAGCAAGAGUAAACCCAUAAAGCAGGGGUAGGAACUUACUGGACUUCCAUCAUCCCAGGCAAUUGGCCACAUUGUCUGGGGGCUACUUGGGAGUUGGGAGACUGUUUUUAUUCUUCUCUGUCUUGGUUGCUUUUUUUUCCUUGCUUGUAAUUUUUAAAAACUUUUUUGGUGGGGGAUCUUUACUGAUGCUGUUCACUCACUCACACACACACACAAAAUUAUUUUAAGUUGUUCACCAGUCUGGUCUUGUUACCUAUGAAGGGGCGGAACUGCUUUUAAGGAAAUAAAUAAAUCCAACACUGCAGAAUAUUUAUUUAAUGUGUGUGCGUAUGUGUGUAUCACAUACCCCCCCCAUCCCUGUGGAUAUUUCUUUUCCUUUCUGUUUGGGUUCAGUCCUGACAGAGACUGAAAGGGAAUAUAUAUAAUGGGAAGGGAAAAUAGGAUGUAAUUCGCAAGUUGAAAAAUACUGCCUGACAACCACUGGCCAUAGUUCUGAACUUCUCCUACCACACUGUAAUUACGACUGCAUUUAUAAGGUGAAUGAUUAACUCAAUUGUCCCUAACGGCCAGCAGGUAAAUACAUAAUUACGGGCUGUUGAAACAAGGUUAUUGUUUACCUGAUUGUCGAGCACCUGCUUUGAAAGACCUUUGAUCUAGCAGGUCGAGGCUCAGGUGAGACAUGGAGCUGGCGGGGUCAUUGACCUGGGGUCAGGGUAUGUGUGUGUGUUGAGGGGGGUGGAGAGAAACACCUUUCUGGCUUCUUAAGACUUAGGAUUACGUGUUCUGCUUUUUAGAGGAACUGUACUUCUCAGAGGUUUGGUGACUCAUAUAGAGAGAGACGGCCAUUCAUUUGAAACAGUGAAUUUUAAACCUAAUCACAGUGAGGCUGAAACUGCACAUGAGAUGCAGUUGGGUGGUUGUCAUCCCUCGCCCCCUAAAAAAACUCCCCACAAAUUUUCUUUUGCUAACUAGAUGCUUCUCUGGGAGGAAAGGAAGAACCCGGAGAAGGCCUGCUUUUCCCCUUCCCUGCUUGUCUUUUUUCCUACUAAAUAUUGCCCCACUAGCUGCUUUUCUCCCUACCAAAUGAAAUAUAAAUAUUUUCUACUGCAGUUAGAAAAGCAACUUAGGUGGGGGGAGGUGUUGAGCAGAAAAAUGGCUGGUGAGGGAAAGGGUUAAGCAUGCCCUUUGGCCACUGAUUCAUUGGUCGGGGACACAGUUUCCAGCAGCUGUUCUUGGAUCUUUGUUUAUUGUUUGAAUCAAACGCAUCAUGGAAAAACAUGCAUGUAGCCUGCAUGUCCAGCACACACAUGGGAGUAAGUCAAACUGAGCUCACUGGGGCUUAGUUCUGGGCGAACGUGCAUAUGAUGGCAUGAGGGUGGUCAUAUAUCUUAGAGUGCAGUUCUUUGUUCCAAGAUAUCAUCUAUUUGAAGGGCUAUCUGGACCAAGACAAGCUUAAAGUUAAAUACGGGACAGCAGAAGGGGCUUUGAAGUUGUCCACCAGCCAUUGGCAGCAUUUAGACAGCAAACUGAACAAGCAUACAGAUGACCUAAUCACAGUCUUCUAUGCUAUGUUGAAAAUUAUUUCUAUUAAUUUCAAUAGUGAUAACUUUCAAAUAAAUCAGCUUAUGCAAAUCUGUAUUCCUCUUUUUGUAGUGGGUGGGUGAUGCAUUGCCUCCUCUUUAGGGAUGUGUAAGUGCCCACCAUAAUGUGAAUCUGUGAAAUCAAAAAGAUAGCCACACUGGCUGCUAUUAUUCUUAUUUAAUUAAGCUAACGAGUUUGUGCCAAGGCCAUUUUUUGACCCUCCAGGAGGGGAGGUAUUUCCAUCACCUGUUACUUGACACUCUGGGACUUUUGUGCAUGCAAAACAUGGCACUCUACCACUGAGCUAUUAAUGCUUGAGAAUAAUUGCGUUUUAUCCUGUUCUUUGCCCAAAGGCACCAUAUGCGGGCCAAUCAGUUUAUCUUCACAACAACAACCCAUUGAGACCCAUGUUAACCAUAAAGGUGGGUUAAAGGGCCUGUUUUGUGCAGGCGUGGGUGGUUCUCAUAGAAUAACAACUCUGGGAUAACUUCUGUAUGUCUGUUUUAUUUGCUACUGCUAACCCUUGUUCCCUGUUUUAUCAUUACUUCAUUCUUUUUUUAAAAAAAUCUUGUGCUUACAUUUUCUCUGAUAGAUGGAUUCAUUGAUUAAUGGCAGGGGUUGAUUAAUUAACACUUUCAGUGUCCUGCUUAUGCCUGCUGAAUCGAUUCUCAUUUGCCUGAGUUUCUUUUGAGGAUUGUGUUCUGCAUUGAACGUUUGCCACCAAUUCCAGCCCUUUCCAGUUCCUUCCCACACCCUGGUUUGAAUGCAAAAGGGACAGCUUUCAACCUUCCUUCCCCAACACACCACACCCUGGCUCUAAGCCUUUAAAAAUUACUUCCAGACUGACAAAUUAACUUGCCAACUUGAAGACAGAAGUUGGGGAGGGGGGUUUGAUAGCCAAACUAUGUGAAGUCCAAUAACAGAAUGACAGUUGAUUGGCAGCUGCGCUAUGCUUCUGAGGGACGGCACAAUCCAUCUCUGUUUUUGCCAAGCAUAGAGCUGUUUCUUGUUAAUAGAGUUUUUUUUUUUUAAAGGAGCAAGAAAUAAUAUAAAGGAAUAUUCCUCCCCCUCCCGCUUUUUUCUCAAUCACUUUCUGCAGCUCCUAUAAAGUGUCUGAACCAGCAUAAAUCAAUUUAAGCCUUACCACAGGCUUUUAUGCAUAUUGGAGUGGUCUCCAUUUUCUUACAAAUGUGAACUUGUGCAUUAAUGAAUAAACAGGCUGUUUUCGCACCACCACAUGUCUGCACUGUAUACCUGAACAAGUUUAGUUAUAAUUCCCCCCUACCUUUUAAUGGAACCUCUUAAGGCAUUAGGGCUGGCUUUUGAGCCGUCAGGGCGGCCAGUGCCUUGGAGCCCUCUUCAGGCACAGAGCGGAACUACAGCGCAGCAUUGGCUCUUCCGAUUGGCAGACAAUAUGAAGCCUGUGGAUUGGCUGGACGUGACAUAAAUAUGAGGAAUUUGAUCUUUUCCUGUCAGUGGGUCAGUUCUGUGAUGCUUCCUCAAUAGUACUGCAUUAUUGUUUUCUGGAGUGGGAAACUGCUUUUCUAGAUCUAUUUUAAUCAGAGUUUCAGCACCGCUUUGUGGCGGUUUUGGUCCUACUUGGAUGGUUGUUUCCGGGGGUGAUUCUUGAGGGGAGUGAUCUUAGGCCCCGUGGAGCCUUCAGUGUGGGGUUCCGCAGCGUUCAGUUUUGUCCCUUAUGCUGUUUAACAUCAGAUGACACCACUCAGUGGGUUUAUGUAGGAGUUUUGAAGUAGUCAGCAAUAUGCUGAGGACAAACAGCUCUACUUCUCCUUUACAUCUGGUGGCAGUGGAGGUGCUGGACCCUCGUCUUGCCUUGGUAAUGGAAAGCCAACAAACUGAAGCGGAAUCCUCAUAAGACUGAGGCACUGUUAGGCCAGAGGGAUGGGAGUUUGCCUGUUCUGGAUAGGGUUACAAUCCCUCUGUAGGAGGGGGUACACAGAUUGGGGGUACUUCUGGAUCCUUUGCUGUCACUUGGUGGCCUCUGUGGCCUCUGUGCAAUGCAUUAUAGAACAGGCUGCCUCUGAAGAUGGUUUGGAAACUUCAGCUGGUGCAGAAUUUGGUGGCCAGGUUGCUCAUCAGGGCAAGAUGGUUUGAGCAUAUUAUACCAAUCCUGGCCCAAAAGCACUGGCUGCCAGCUAGUUUCUGGGCCCAAUUUAAAGGGCUGGUUUUGACCUAUGAAGCCUUAAACAGCUCAGGACCACAAUACUUCAAGGACUGCCUUUCCCCAAUAUGAACCAGCCUAGAUCUGUGAUCAUCAUCUGAGGCCCUUCCUUAUGUGCCUCCUUCACAAAAGGCUCAGAGGGUGGUGACAUGGGAAUGGGCAUUUUCUGUGGUGGCUCCCCAUUUGUUGAAUGUUCUCCCCGGGAUGGCUCACCUGUGCCUUCCUUACAUAUCUUUAGGUGCCAAGUGAAAACAUUGCUCUAGAACCAGGCCUUUGGCUGAUUAACAUUCUAUGUCCAUUUAAUUGUGUUUGUGGGUGGAGGGUUAUUGGUUUUUUUUGGUUGUUGUUUUAUUAUGUAUUUUGUAUUUUUAUGUUGUGAACCACCCUGUAAUUGUCAGAUGAUGGACGGUAUACUACUACUACUACUACUCUUGCACUAUAGCACAAGAAAAGCAGGACAACCCUGCCCCAAAUAUUUGCAAUUAAAAAAAGUUACAGGAGUACAGCUGGAGGUUAUGAGGCAUGCACUGAUUGGAAAUGAAGCCAUAUGUUCUCUCCCAAGCUUUUGCAGGCACAAAUUGUAUUGAAAGCAGGAUAGUGUGUUACUGCCCUGAUACCAUCAUGAGCACAAAUAGUCAUGAUUGUGCAGUGAAAGGGACACCUAGAAGGGUCCAUAGAUUUGCAAGGCAGUCUCGGGCAGAGAUACACAUCAUGGGAGGUACCAGACUGCUUCUGAAAAUAACAUCCCUGUGUUACGUCCCCCCCCACCACCAAAGUGUUCUACAUCUUAACCCCAUGCUGUGACAUCUUGAAUUUUUGUGUUUCUCUGCCACCAGCAGCUGGUGAAGAGGGGACAGGAAACACACAAUGCAAUGAUGUCGCAGCAUGAGGUACGCAAAGCUCCAUGUUAUGGGGGCGAGAGGGAGAUCUUUAACACGGAGAUGCCAUUUUCGACAGCUUCCCUAUCUCCUGAAACAUGUGUUUCCACUUAUAGAUAAGUCAUUGUGUCAACUUCAGGUCCAGUUUGGGAAAUAUAAUAGUUACUUAGUUAGUUCUGUUUUAGUUUGCUUAAGUAGUGGCCUGUCUCCUAGGCUUGUUGCAAGGAUGAACAAAAUGACGUUGUACACCGCUUUGAGCACUUGGAUGAGUGAUUAGAUUUCCUUUCCACAGUUUAAAACCAGCGGAAGUGCACCUUAGGAGUACCAUUUCUGUGGAAACAUAUUGAUAGGAGAAACUGAGCUUACUUUAUAUUUUUUAGUGUGCUUUGCUUGUUUGAAUUACCGGUAACUGAGCAAAAAUUUAUAUGAACAGAAACAGACUGUUAUUAAGCAUUAACCCUUACAGAAGGGCUAAUAUAUCAGUGUUCCUUGGCUGUAGCAAAGAAGCCAUUCCAUACAAUGAGGGACAUUUGGAGUGAGCUGGACAAUUCAUCUCUAUUGCCAUCAGAUAGUUGUUUGAGUGGUUCGCAUUCUGCAGAACUGAAAGAGUUGUUGCAAACUUGAAACAGAGGAUCAUUCAACGGAAGCUUUUGCUGAUGAGUUGGUAGGGGGAAAAUUAUGACCAAAAAUGGCAGCAGGGUUAAAUAUGGCUUUGUAACCAUGAGUCCUUGUUUAUAUCCUUCAAUAUCUAAAUGGAGUUUUUUAUAACAUGCAUAUUAAUUAAAUUUAAUCAAUUGAUUAACCAGUUAAGAGGUAAACGAUUACUCAACGAAGAAGAUUGAUAACCCAAAUCAUUAUGUAUUUAUAAAACUGUGCUAGUGGAACAGUGGGGCACCACAUUUCCUUCUUUGGAGAGAAGCUCUCUCUAGAAAGAAAACUAGAAAGCUCUCUCUAGUGUUUAAUCUAAAUUUGAUUUUCUUGUAGUUUAAACCCAGUACUAGCUUUUGUUUUCUUUAUUAGUUUUUCAUAUAUCUGUGUUCCUUGGCUGUAGCAAAUAAGCCAUUCCAUACACACACAAACCUUCUUGUAAGCGCUUGAUAAUGUCAUCAUAUAUUUUAGAAAUUGCCAGUUUAGCUUUAAAUAAAGGCAACUUUACAGUGAAGGUAAGAAAUGCAUAAAACAAAAUUUUAAAGUAUGCACUAAAAUGAAACAACAACAAAACCUAAAUCGGACUUUUCACAAGACGGAACAAAAAAGUGUUUGCCACUUUCCUAGGGGUUAUGUCAAAGGAGCCUAGUGGGUAGUGAGUACUGCUGAGUGGGUUCUUUUUUUUUUUUAAAUCAUAUUUAUUAAAGUUUCC